rnacentral:rRNA from 1 species
AGUAGCCGGUUUUACAAGUCUUCCGUUAAAUCCACAUGAUUAACAGAUGGGCUGCAGAGGAUACUAUAGAGCUAGGAGGCGGGAGAGGCAAGCGGUACUCAGUGGGUAGGGGUAAAAUCCGUUGAUCCACUGAAGACCACCAGUGGCGAAGGCGGCUUGCCAGAACGCGCUCGACGGUGAGGGAUGAAAGCUGGGGGAGCAAACCGGAUUAGAUACCCGGGUAGUCCCAGCUGUAAACGAUGCAGACUCGGUGAUGAAUAGGCUUAGUGCCUAUUCAGUGCCGCAGGGAAGCCGUUAAGUUUUCCGCGUGGGGAGUUUGGUGGCAAGACUGAAACUUAA